UACGAAGGGGGCUAGCGUUGCUCGGAAUCACUGGGCGUAAAGCGCACGUAGGCGGGUAUUUAAGUCAGGGGUGAAAUCCCAGAGCUCAACUCUGGAACUGCCUUUGAUACUGGGGUACCUAGAGUGUGGAAGAGGUGAGUGGAAUUCCGGAGUGUAGAGGUGAAAUUCGUAGAUAUUCGGAGGAACACCAGUGGCGAAGGCGG
rnacentral:rRNA from 1 species